rnacentral:rRNA from 1 species
AGCGAACGCUGGCGGCAGGCCUAACACAUGCAAGUCGAACGGACCCUUCGGGGUUAGUGGCGGACGGGUGAGUAACACGUGGGAACGUGCCCUUUGGUUUGGAACAACACAGGGAAACUUGUGCUAAUACCGGAUAAGCCCUUCGGGGGAAAGAUUUAUUGCCAUUGGAGCGGCCCGCGUUGGAUUAGGUAGUUGGUGAGGUAAAGGCUCACCAAGCCUGCGAUCCAUAGCUGGUCUGAGGGGAUGAUCAGCCACAUUGGGACUGAGACACGGCCCAAACUCCUACGGGAGGCAGCAGUGGGGAAUCUUGCGCAAUGGGCGAAAGCCUGACGCAGCCAUGCUGCGUGAAUGAUGAAGGUCUUAGGAUUGUAAAAUUCUUUCAGCGGGGACGAUAAUGACGGUACCCGCAGAAGAAGCCCCGGCUAACUUCGUGCCAGCAGCCGCGGUAAUACGAAGGGGGCUAGCGUUGCUCGGAAUUACUGGGCGUAAAGGGAGCGUAGGCGGAUAGUUUAGUCAGAGGUGAAAGCCCAGGGCUCAACCUUGGAAAUGCCUUUGAUACUGGCUAUCUUGAGUAUGGGAGAGG